AGAGUUUGAUCAUGGCUCAGAUUGAACGCUGGCGGCAGGCCUAACACAUGCAAGUCGAGCGGAUGAAGGGAGCUUGCUCCUGGAUUCAGCGGCGGACGGGUGAGUAAUGCCUAGGAAUCUGCCUGGUAGUGGGGGAUAACGUCCGGAAACGGGCGCUAAUACCGCAUACGUCCUGAGGGAGAAAGUGGGGGAUCUUCGGACCUCACGCUAUCAGAUGAGCCUAGGUCGGAUUAGCUAGUUGGUGGGGUAAAGGCCUACUAAGGCGACGAUCCGUAACUGGUCUGAGAGGAUGAUCAGUCACACUGGAACUGAGACACGGUCCAGACUCCUACGGGAGGCAGCAGUGGGGAAUAUUGGACAAUGGGCGAAAGCCUGAUCCAGCCAUGCCGCGUGUGUGAAGAAGGUCUUCGGAUUGUAAAGCACUUUAAGUUGGGAGGAAGGGCAGUAAGUUAAUACCUUGCUGUUUUGACGUUACCAACAGAAUAAGCACCGGCUAACUUCGUGCCAGCAGCCGCGGUAAUACGAAGGGUGCAAGCGUUAAUCGGAAUUACUGGGCGUAAAGCGCGCGUAGGUGGUUCAGCAAGUUGGAUGUGAAAUCCCCGGGCUCAACCUGGGAACUGCAUCCAAAACUACUGAGCUAGAGUACGGUAGAGGGUGGUGGAAUUUCCUGUGUAGCGGUGAAAUGCGUAGAUAUAGGAAGGAACACCAGUGGCGAAGGCGACCACCUGGACUGAUACUGACACUGAGGUGCGAAAGCGUGGGGAGCAAACAGGGUUAGAUACCCUGGUAGUCCACGCCGUAAACGAUGUCGACUAGCCGUUGGGAUCCUUGAGAUCUUAGUGGCGCAGCUAACGCGAUAAGUCGACCGCCUGGGGAGUACGGCCGCAAGGUUAAAACUCAAAUGAAUUGACGGGGGCCCGCACAAGCGGUGGAGCAUGUGGUUUAAUUCGAAGCAACGCGAAGAACCUUACCUGGCCUUGACAUGCUGAGAACUUUCCAGAGAUGGAUUGGUGCCUUCGGGAACUCAGACACAGGUGCUGCAUGGCUGUCGUCAGCUCGUGUCGUGAGAUGUUGGGUUAAGUCCCGUAACGAGCGCAACCCUUGUCCUUAGUUACCAGCACCUCGGGUGGGCACUCUAAGGAGACUGCCGGUGACAAACCGGAGGAAGGUGGGGAUGACGUCAAGUCAUCAUGGCCCUUACGGCCAGGGCUACACACGUGCUACAAUGGUCGGUACAAAGGGUUGCCAAGCCGCGAGGUGGAGCUAAUCCCAUAAAACCGAUCGUAGUCCGGAUCGCAGUCUGCAACUCGACUGCGUGAAGUCGGAAUCGCUAGUAAUCGUGAAUCAGAAUGUCACGGUGAAUACGUUCCCGGGCCUUGUACACACCGCCCGUCACACCAUGGGAGUGGGUUGCUCCAGAAGUAGCUAGUCUAACCGCAAGGGGGACGGUUACCACGGAGUGAUUCAUGACUGGGGUGAAGUCGUAACAAGGUAGCCGUAGGGGAACCUGCGGCUG
rnacentral:rRNA from 1 species